UGCGUAGGCGGCGCGGAAAGUUGGGUGUGAAAUACCUCGGCUCAACCGAGGAACUGCGCCCAAAACUACCGUGCUCGAGGGAGAUAGAGGUGAGCGGAACUUAGGGUGGAGCGGUGAAAUGCGUUGAUAUCCUAAGGAACACCGGUGGCGAAAGCGGCUCACUGGAUCUCUUCUGACGCCGAGGCACGAAAGCUAGGGGAGCGAACG
rnacentral:rRNA from 1 species